GAUGAACGCUGGCGGCGUGCCUAAUACAUGCAAGUCAAGCGAACAGACGAGGAGCUUGCUCCUUUGACGUUAGCGGCGGACGGGUGAGUAACACGUGGGUAACCUACCUAUAAGACUGGGAUAACUUCGGGAAACCGGAGCCAAUACCGGAUAAUAUUUCGAACCGCAUGGUUCGAUAGUGAAAGAUGGCUUUGCUAUCACUUAUAGAUGGACCUGCGCCGGAUUAGCUAGUUGGUAAGGUAACGGCUUACCAAGGCAACGAUACGUAACCGACCUGAGAGGGUGGUCGGCCACACUGGAACUGAGACACGGUCCAGACUCCUACGGGAGGCAGCAGUGGGGAAUCUUCCGCAAUGGGCGAAAUCCUGACGGAGCAACGCCGCGUGAGUGAUGAAGGUCUUCGGAUCAUAAAACUCUGUUAUUAGGGAAGAACAAACGUGUAAGUAACUGUGCACGUCUUGACGUUACCUAAUCAGAAAGCCACGGCUAGCUACGUG
rnacentral:rRNA from 1 species